GCGGUGCAAGGGCACCGACUGUCCAAGGCACCAGCGGUGCCAAGGACCCUAUUGAAACCCUAGGGUUUAUUAUUAUUAGGGUCCGAGCACCGAGGGUGCGAAGGACAGGCGGUGCCAGGGCACCGACUGUCCAAGGCACCAGCGGUGCCAAGGACCCUAUUGAAACCCUGGGGUUUAUUAUUAGGGUCCGAGCACCGAGGGUGCGAAGGACAGGCGGUGCCAGGGCACCGACUGUCCAAGGCACCAGCGGUGCCAAGGACCCUAUUGAAACCCUAGGGUUUAUUAUUAGGGUCCGAGCACUGAGGGUGCGAAGGACAGGCGGUGCCAGGGCACCGACUGUCCAAGGCACCAGCGGUGCCAAGGACCCUAUUGAAACCCUAGGGUUUAUUAGGGUCCGAGCACCGAGGGUGCGAAGGACAGGCGGUGCCAGGGCACCGACUGUCCAAGGCACCAGCGGUACCAAGGACCCUAUUGAAACCCUAGGGUUUAUUAUUAUUAUUAUUUUUUUUUUUUUUUUUUUUUUUUUUCUCCCGUAAAGUAAAUUGGCUUUUUGGCGGCCUUAUCAUACUCCAAAACGCGUGAAAUUUGGCAUGCACAUCAGGACUGGCGAAAAAUUUGAUAUUUUAUGGGAGUUGCGCAUGUGCGUGGCAAAAUGGCUCUAUAGCGCCACCUGCAAACUUGAAAAAGUAGUCAUUAGGCCAACUGCCACAAUGUUUCAUGUACAGCUACAAUAUUUGGUGGGCAUAUGCAGAACAUCUGGACACACCAAAAAGUCAAUUACAGCCACGCCCUAAACCCAACAGGAAGUCGGCCACCUUCAAUUUGCUGUAAAUUUUUCAAACUUAAUCGCUCCUCGGGAAAUGACUUGCCUUUUUGGCGGCCUUAUCAUGAACCAAAACGCGUGAAAUUUGGCGUGCACAUCAGGACUGGCGAAAAAUUUGAUAUUUUAUGGGAGUUGCGCAUAUGUGUGAAAAAAUGGCUCUAUAGCGCCACCUGCAAAAUUGAAACAGUGGUCAUUAGGCCAACUUCCACAAUGUUUUAUUUACAGCUACAAUAUUUGGUGGGCAUAUGCACCACAUCAGGACACACCAAAAAGUCAAUCACAGCCACACCCUAAACCCAACAGGAAGUCGGCCAUCUUGAAUUUGCUGUACAUUUGUCAAAAUUUAUAGCUCCUAGUGGAUAAGUCUGAGAGAACUGAAAUUUGGCCAGUACAUGCACCAGACCUUUCUGAUGAAAAGUUAUCAAAAACUCAACCAGAAGCCAAAAGGUGUGGCCAUGGCAGAGCCUCAAACAACUGAUCCUUCGCCAUGAAACAGGAAGUGGUGUCUAAUUCUUUUCAACAUGCUCCAAUCUGCCUGAAACUUUACAUGUAUGAUGACAGUCCUGUCCUGAUGUCAUCCACAUAGGGAUAUUCAUUGACAGUCAUAGCGCCACCUUGUGGUUUCAGGAAAUAGACAUAUUUUACACUUUCAUGCCCUAUUGUUACCCGGUUGAUCAUAUUCACUUCAAAUGCAGUGACAACAGCCUAAACACAUUGAUGAUGCAUCCCAGUGAAAAUGGUGACUUGUCAUCAAAGGGCGUGUCUGUGGCGGCCAAACCAAUUUCGAUGAUUCGCCAUGACAAUUUAACGAUUCAUAUCUCAGCUGAACAACAUCCUAUCUGGCACAAACUUCACAUGAUGGACACCAGGUCCAGUCUGAACACAUCCACACUCAUAAAUUCUGAAAAAGUCAUAGCGCCACCUGUUGGUAAUAGUAAGUUUAAGGCCUUAUAUUUUCAGGUACAAUGGCCCCAAACUUGGUGAUAUCAUGCUGGAAAUUGGUCAGUCGAGUCUUCACCUCUUGACAAUCACACACUGUGAAGGGUGUGACAUUUCAUGCAACGCUGUUACCGUAGCAACCAAAUAUCGCCAUGCAAAACAAAGCCCUUUCUGACAGGUUAGGAAUACUCCAAUGCUCACAAAAAUUACCACACACAUCACCAUUGACCCAAGGAACAACACUGUAUGCAUCUCGGCACUGCACAUGCUAUAGCGCCCCCUACAGUAUUUUUAACAAACAGCCCCCCCAGCA